UGUGAGAGCGAGCCUGCUCGCGAAGGCGUCGUGCCGGUCACCACUGCGGUCGGCCGUGAAAUCGCUUUCGCGAGCAGGCUCGCUCCCACA
rnacentral:antisense_RNA from 2 species